UGUGUGGUGUUAUGUUUUGUUUGAACUGGACCUGAAUGCAGACAGGAGUCAGCAAACUAGGUCUCAAAAGAUGUUUAAAAAUAGAAGCCUCAAACGCUGCGGGGAAAACUUACUCAGGAGGGGAAAAGAUCUCCACAAAAGGAGGGAGGCAUGGAGCCCUCAAGAGUAAAUCUCAAAUAUAUCUGAUCUCAGAGCCCACGUUGACCACAAAGCUGACUAAACAAUCAGAUGUUGGUGAACAGGAGCUAGGUGCUUAAUAGUCAUUAGUAAUUGGCAGCAGUGACAGCUGUGGGAAAGUGGCUCCAUCAGACUCCUUGGAGAAAGAACAGAGCAGAAACAGGGAAAACUCCACAAAAGAACACCAAAACAAAUACCCAGGACCCAACAUGUGUUGGCUUCUGAGAAAUGUAAAUACCAUACAAAGGUUGAACAAAUCAUUCUUGAUAACUCACAGAAUCAUUUUACUUUGUGUGGUAAUUUAAACGAGUCUAUCUCUUUUCAGACUGAGAACAAACAAGGGGGAGAGACUACACCAUCAUUCUCCAGCCAGAGGAUGCUCCCAUUAUCCUGUCUAACUCCCAGUGUUCCGUCAAGCAGUUCUUCCUCAUUGUUCUUGAGGCAUGUGGCACAAGCACAAAUUGAGGCCAAGACCAAUUUAGAUCUAAGUACCACAUCUGUAACCCAGAGACUGUGUUCAUCUCCAGCGAGCUACAACUCACCAAUAAAUGAUUCGGGCUAUGCUGGACUGGGACAACACUGCAGUGGGAAGCUCGUUACCUCAACAUACGUUGGAAUGAACCACGAAGCCGCUGGAGGUGACAGUGAUACUGCAUUCUCGGUGAUAACCUCCCAUCGUGAUGGUGUGAACACGUCAUCGUAUCUCACAAUAAACCCUCCAACUAGUGGCAGUGUAGACAGCUCUGGAGACUUUGGCCUGACAGCUGGGUCUGUGGGUAGAAUGCAACACCAUCCGGGUGAUGGAAGGUUAGAAAGUCCAGUUAACCUUGCUCAGCAAUCAAGCGGCACAGGAGGAAUUCCUACUUACCUGCAUCAACCAAAGAUGGGUAAUUCUGGAUAUUUGGGUCAACCUCAACAUAUACGAUGUUCUGGAUAUGUGGACCAACAAUCCAUUUUAGGGGACACUGUCAAUUUAACACAACACCAGAAUAUGGUGGAUUCUGGCUACCUAGGGCAAAUUUAUCCAAGUAGUGGGGGUACGUCUGCCACAGACUACCUACCCCGAAGUCAUUUUGGCAGUGGUCUGAUCAGCUCUGGUUACCUAACACAGAGUGGUGGCAUACUGGAGCCUAAAAUGGCAUAUACAUGGCAGAAUCUGAAAUCUGACUUUACACAGCCUAAGAUCAACAACCUGCACAAGGCUGUCAACCCUCUUCUACAUGUUAGUACAAUGCAAAGGGAACACUAUGGAGAAACCCCACUGGCGAACAUGAUAGGGCCAGAAACAGGGCUAGAACUCCUUCAUGGCCGUCUCCAGAGGGAUCCUCGAGGCAGUCGUUCUGAUCCUCAGAUGGACCAUCUCAGGCAAGAGAGAGAGUACAAACUGGGUAGACAGACCUCUAGUGAACAGGAGAUCCAAGCCAGGCUGAAUGAGCUUCCGAUGAUUGUGCGUCAAGAACGCUAUCGGAGGCAUUUGGAGCGACAGUCUUCAAGUGAAAAAGAGGGAAGCAGUAAGCAGAGAUUGCAAAGGCAGGACUCAAGUGACCUUGAGGCAUCUAUCAAAACUGGCUCUGACAAACACACAAGUGACAAGAGAACAACCAUGGCAGAGAUUGUAGAACAAGUCCAGGAGAGAGAAGCAGCACAUGUGCGUAAGACUGGCACAAUAAAGGAGCCCAUUGUGCAAUGUUACCGGUCUUUUGUCGUGAACUUUCCUUCUGUUUAUUUAGUCAAGAGGAGAAAUGUAUCGACCUUCUAGCAGCCUCUCAGCACCCGUUACUCGUUUUGAUGGGCGACCCCGUGCAAGAGACCGUCCAAAGCCAAGGAGGAGGCCCCGCCCAAAAGAGCCUGAGGAGGCACGGCGGUCACGCUCAGCUCCAGCUACUGGUGCCCCAACAACACCGCAGCCACCUUCACAUACUGCCCAGAAUGAAGGUUUCCUUUACCGCAAGAAAGUCACCACCUCUGACCUGGAAGGUCAACAGAGGAGCCCAAACAGGUACGAUAUCCCUGAAAUCACAGAUGAAUGAAUGAUGUAUACUUAUUUAGAACACAAACACACACAUGCACAUGUAUGGACAUCUUUUUAUAUAUAGUAUAUUAAAAAAGACAGAUCCUACAGUGUGGUGUUUGUAACAAUUUGGUUGUUGAGUGUGGAUGAAUUUGUUUAAUUCAUUAUAAAAUGUUCAGGUGUGAAAAAGCUUCUAAAUUGACCUUAAAAUAUUUUGAGCAUGAAAUAACAGUACAAACCCUAACCCAAUUUUAGUAACAUUUACAAAGAUCGUUGUUUUUUUAUCUUAUAAGACAAAUUCCUAUUCUAUUGUCCUCACGAUAAUGCCCUUCGGCACGCAGUUAUGGGAACCUCUGUCCAUAACCAUGAAACAUUUCCCCCUUCCUUACUUCACUCAUUGGCCCUCUACAUCCACCAAUUAAGGUUGUGGUGGAUCUCUGCUCUGAAACAAUGCAGAGCUGAUUCGUUUCUAUUCAAAUCAUUAUGUGUGUACACCAGGGGUGGCGCUGUUAGCAAUGUGGCACAGUGCAGUGCACAAAGGACAGGAAGUCAUGUGCAAAGAGAAAAUAAAACAUUGGAAUUUUUUCAAAAUAAAAAAUUCUGUGGUUUUUUUUGGCUGAACGUUUUCAGAGGGAAGUUCAGUUUGAAGAUUUAUGGCAGUGGUAGCUCAGUCCGUAGGGAACUGGGCUAAGAAGCAGAGGGUUCUUGGUUUCACACGAAACCUGGAAGGUGUUCUGGUAGUAGUAGUAGUCGUAGGGGAGGUGCCAGGACACCUUCAGAGCACUGCCGAGGUGCCCUUGAGCAAGGUACUGAACCCAGGAAAACUCACACAUGAUACCUUGCAAUGAGGUGGGGACUCGUUCAGAGGUGGACCAGCUUCACACAUGUGCAGCUGGGAUAGGCUCCAGCAGUCUCCCCCUAACCCCAAAAGGGUCACGAAUAAAAUCAAUAAAACUGCUCAAUAAUAAAUAAUCCGUCAAUUAGACAUUUGAGUGGAAAUAAGGGAAUUAUGCAUAUUAAAGGCACACAAGAUUGAACGAAAACCAAUGUUUAGCCUUCUGCUAGUCUGGAUGGAGGAAUAUUUGAAAUAAAGUCUUUCAUUGCUCGUCGUCUAUGUCCUCACAUACUGUGGUCAGUCUUCCAGGCAGUUGCUAUCCUGCACAUUGUGGUUGUCCACUCCCACAGCUUGUCCCUCAGCAGGACACGCUGGAUGGUACUGAAAGCUCUCGGUAGCUAAAAAACAAUACGAUACUUACAGUGGUACCAACCUUCUCUAGAUGAGACAGUGAUGUGUGGAGAAAAUAGCUGCUGUCAGCCAAAUGGCAGAAGGUCACACAGCUGGUCAGCACAGCUUUGAGAUGCCUGGUCUCUCACAUCUCCAAUGUCCUCAGCUGGGUCACCACCUGAGUGGUUUGAAAGGCUGGGGCUGUGGUUAACUGAGCUGGUGUUGGGAGAGGCAAAGUUGGAGGGUGCGAAACGGGAGUCCAAGACAGGCUCCAGGGCAGUUCUAUGGUGUUGUUGAGAGCUAGUAGCCAGGGGAGCCAUGAAGGGGAAGUCCACAGCUGUAGGAGUCAAUGGAGGCUGCGGCAUGGAGCCCUGAGGUCCUGGUCACACAAUCGUUUUGGGUGAAAAUGCAAAACUUUAGUUCCCUUUGGACAGUCCAUUUACACCAGAAUGCCUGAAAUCACAGCGUUAUGACAACGAACCAUGAGUUUAAAAGAACGGCGGCCGCAUCAGUUGUUGUUUAGAUGAUAUGUGGAGCAUUUUCACCAACUGCUGGCAUUCACACCACCGCUGCAGGCUACUGGGCUUACCUGAGUAUUCAUACCUGACACUGAGGAAGAACUUCAAGACAUGGCACGACUCCCAACCAUGUUCUCUGCAAGUUCUUUUGUAUGAUGUGUUUUUAUUUUGAACAGAGACUCAACUGAACACUAGCUCUAAAGCACUUUAUAUUCUAUAUUAUAUUUUGUGUAACCCAACCAGGUGUACACAGGUUGAGUAAACAGGGCCUGAGAGGUGAGGGGCUCAUCCGACAUCCGCGCCAUCACCUUGAUAUACGACGCAC
ensembl:lncRNA